CUCAAUGCACCAUGUCAUUUCUGUUGUUGAACUUUCAAGAUGUAAAAGCUGCUAUUAAAAACGGUUAGUCCAUCUACUGCUUACUAAAUGCAUCUUAUGUUGCUUUCUAAAACUUAAACUUCAAGAGGUAAUCUGCUAGCUUGUGUUGCUUUCUAAAACUUACCCUUCUUUUUCGGAAUAAGUAAAUCUACACUGUUUUUACUUGUCAUUACGUACCAGUGAGGUGUUUUCUUAAUUGUACUGUAGCUAUUGAUACCUUUCAGGAGGUGAAAGUCGAUGCUAUGAGCCACUAGUCUACCACUUAGUGAUGGAGCAUGGAUCAAAAUGAUGAUGAAGCAUGGUGUUUCCCUUUUCUCAAUGUUCAUUAUGAUGUGCUAAUGUUAUUUCCAUAUCUGGAGAGCAAGACAUAUACUAUUUAUGAUAAUCUUAUUUCUG
rnacentral:lncRNA from 1 species